GUUACAGAGUUAUAACGGGAGAUAUAGUGACUGGCGUAUUUAUAAAUACUCUGGACUUACAAUCUUCCACUACUGGAUCUGUACACCACUCGCAAGCUAGCUGAACAACGACCGCUUUAGUACCUUUAUUAGUAAACCAAGAUGAAGAGACUCUCUACAUUAGCUCUGUGCUUGAUACUCUUGAUUGGGAUCUUCCAGGCAAGCGCGUCUUCAGAUCUUCCCAACUGGCAAGACCCGAGCCAGAUAGACGAUGAUGAAAGAACGCCAUCUGAAUCAACGAGAGUAAAUCCAAGAAUGAUGAAACUAGGAGUCAAGAGAGGUGGAGGACCCCCUCACAAUCGAUGGGGUGGCAUUCUUGGAAAGCGAAACUAUUAGGACAAAAAAUAACAUGAACAAAAACCAUUGAUGCUCAGUGUUCUAAUUACUUACUAAAUGAAACCGAAAGAAACAAAUAAUAAUGGCAUAAGUUAAAACUGCACGAGACCUUUCUAGGAGACUACCAACACUGUAAUGUUUCGCUAUGCCACAAAAUGACAUUCUGAAACUCUUUCUCUGUUACCAAUGCUUUUCUUUUCCUUUUCUAGUAMUGAUUGCUAACUCAGCUUGUAAGUGCAACACAGCAAAAACAAAACAAAAAACACUUUGACACUUUGACGUAUUUUCUCCAUCUUUAGUUAAAACGCUAAACUAAACUUCACAGUAGAAUACAUAUAACGAGUACCAAUGGUCAAAAUGUGAAUAACGGUCGUAGAUUAUAUAUAUUGAAAGUGAUGAACAAUAACCCUACUUAAACUCCAUGCAAUCACAGAGCAUGAUUAAACUGAUUCAACUAAAGCAAGGUUACAUUGCUAUGGCAACAGUAGUCCUGUAUUUUAGAUAACUGACUAAUCAUUACCUUGCUAAUCAGAGAAAUGAAGUUGAAUAGUCAAAUGUUAAUAAAAUUAAUGCAUGAUUAAAAUAA